AUGAAUCUCAUACCUUAUGAAUACAUUAUUAGUCGUCAAGGGAAUGAGCAAUUGGAUAAGGUGUUGAGACUAGAACCCUCUAUUCUGAAGAAGAGCAUGUUGGUUAUUUCUGAGUUUACUCGAAUGGCUCCACUCAAAGAUGCAUUCGAGUAAACCCCUGGAAUAUUGAUGCAGUGGCCGAUGCAAUGGACUGCGCCCUGGAGAUGGCUGAGCCAGAAAAACAACUUCGACAUGACAAGCAUUACAAAUAUGUUAGUACUCAUGAUGUUGGUUAUUGGGCACGUAGUUUUCUUCAGGAUUUGGAGAGGACGUGUCGUGAUCAUUCAAGGAGGAGAUGCUGGGGUAUCGGAUUCGGAUUAAGCUUCAGAGUUGUGGCACUAGAUCCAAACUUUAGGAAGCUUUCAAUGGAGCACAUUGUAUCAGCUUACAAGAGGAACACAACUAGGGCAAUUCUUCUGGACUAUGAUGGUACUCUAAUGCCUCAGGCAUCGAUUGAUAAGAGUCCAUCUCACAAGUCAAUUGACAUCCUAAAUGGCUUGUGCACAGAUAAGAACAACAUGGUUUUCCUUGUUAGUGCCAGAAGCCGCAAUACACUCACUGAAUGGUUUUCUCAAUGUGAGAAGCUAGGAUUAGCUGCAGAGCAUGGGUACUUCCUAAGGUUGACAAGAGAUGCAGAAUGGGAAACAUGCGUUCCUGUAACAGACACUGCUUGGAAGCAAAUUGCAGAACCUGUGAUGCAGCUUUAUACCGAAACAACUGAUGGGUCCACUAUUGAGGACAAGGAAACUGCACUAGUAUGGUGUUAUGAGGAUGCGGAUCCUGAUUUUGGUUCAUGCCAGGCUAA
rnacentral:misc_RNA from 1 species